GUGGAAUAGAGAAAUCAUGGUCAGUGGGAAUUAUGGGAAUAGUGUGAGGUGGUGAAACUGAAGAGGAAGGAGAAGAUGAAGGGAAAACGUGUGAAGUAGGAGAAAUAAGGGUAGAGAAUUACCUGUCGAGGGAACGUUGCUGCCAGAGUCCAUGAGAGGAGAUUGUACACGAGCAAGGAACACAGUCUCAUCAAAGAUCACAUUUAUGGAAAUAUACACACGUCGGAAGGAACGAUCAUAGCAAUGAAACCCCUUCUGAUUAGAACAAUAACCAAUGAAAAUGCAUGGUGUGCUACAGUAA
rnacentral:lncRNA from 1 species